CAAUAGCGUAUAUUAAAGUUGUUGCGGUUAAAAAGCUCGUAGUUGGAUUUCUGCUGAGAACGACCGGUCCGCCCUUUGGGUGUGUAUCUGGCUCUUUCUUGGCAUCUUCUUGGUGAACGUUGCUGCACUUGACUGUGUGGAGCGCUACCCAGGACUUUUACUUUGAGGAAAUUAGAGUGUUUCAAGCAGGCAUACGCCUUGAAUACAUUAGCAUGGAAUAAUAAGAUAGGACCUCGGUUCUAUUUUGUUGGUUUCUAGAGCUGAGGUAAUGAUUAAUAGGGAUAGUUGGGGGCAUUCGUAUUUAACUGUCAGAGGUGAAAUUCUUGGAUUUGUUAAAGACUAACUUAUGCGAAAGCAUUUGCCAAGGAUGUUUUCAUUG
rnacentral:rRNA from 1 species